rnacentral:rRNA from 1 species
GAUCCUGGCUCAGGAUGAACGCUGGCGGCGUGCCUAACACAUGCAAGUCGANCGAAGCGGUUUUUAAGGAAGUUUUCGGAUGGAAUUAAAAACUGACUGAGCGGCGGACGGGUGAGUAACGCGUGGGGUAACCUGCCUCAUACAGGGGGGAUAACAGUUAGAAAUGGCUGCUAAUACCGCAUAAGCACACAGCUUCGCAUGGAGCAGUGUGAAAAACUCCGGUGGUAUGAGAUGGACCCGCGU